rnacentral:rRNA from 1 species
GACGAACGCUGGCGGCGUGCUUAACACAUGCAAGUCGAACGGAAAGGCCCUGCUUUUGUGGGGUGCUCGAGUGGCGAACGGGUGAGUAACACGUGAGUAACCUGCCCUUGACUUUGGGAUAACUUCAGGAAACUGGGGCUAAUACCGGAUAGGAGCUCCUGCUGCAUGGUGGGGGUUGGAAAGUUUCGGCGGUUGGGGAUGGACGCGCGGCUUAUCAGCUUGUUGGUGGGGUAGUGGCUUACCAAGGCUUUGACGGGUAGCCGGCCUGAGAGGGUGACCGGCCACAUUGGGACUGAGAUACGGCCCAGACGCCGACGUGAGGCAGCAGUGGGGAAUAUUGCACAAUGGGCGGAAGCCUGAUGCAGCAACGCCGCGUGCGGGAUGACGGCCUUCGGGUUGUAAACCGCUGUCGCCUGUGACGAAGCGUGAGUGACGGUAAUGGGUAAAGAAGCACCGGCUAACUACGUG